rnacentral:rRNA from 1 species
CCUACGGGCGGCAGCAGUGGGGAAUAUUGGACAAUGGGCGAAAGCCUGAUCCAGCCAUGCCGCGUGUGUGAAGAAGGCCUUCGGGUUGUAAAGCACUUUCAGUGGGGAAGAAAGCCUUGGGGCUAAUACCCUCGAGGAAGGACAUCACCCACAGAAGAAGCACCGGCUAACUCCGUGCCAGCAGCCGCGGUAAUACGGAGGGUGCGAGCGUUAAUCGGAAUUACUGGGCGUAAAGCGCGCGUAGGCGGUCUGAUAAGCCGGUUGUGAAAGCCCCGGGCUCAACCUGGGAACGGCAUCCGGAACUGUCAGGCUAGAGUGCAGGAGAGGAAGGUAGAAUUCCCGGUGUAGCGGUGAAAUGCGUAGAAAUCGGGAGGAAUACCAGUGGCGAAGGCGGCCUUCUGGACUGACACUGACGCUGAGGUGCGAAAGCGUGGGUAGCAAACAGGAUUAGAUACCCGAGUAGUC